ensembl:lncRNA
UUUGUAUUAAGUAUUAUAUAUUAUUAUUAUUGUAUAUGGUGAUGCACACUUUGUUAGACAUCAUAUUAUUGUCUUAGAAUGACAUUGAAUGCAGAUCCCAAGAUACACUGGAGUCAUGUCACCUUUGACAGAGUAACCCAAAAAGCUCUCCUGCAUGUCAACAUCGAGUGCUAUUGAGUAAACACGGCAUAACUGGUAAGUGCAGAUCAAAUGUAUCCGCCCAGCAACCACAGGAAGUCCUUUUGCUGCUGCUGCUGCUGCUGCUGCUUACAGAGCAUCAGCCCUGUGCAGCGGAAGUGUACACUUCUGUCAACACACACACACACAUACAAACAAACCUACAAGAGCCAGAAGAGAGGACUUGUGGCUCCCCGUCCCGGAAAAGACACAAGAGGACACAGAAGUCAGAGACCAUGAUCAAACGCAAACUGAGCUUCAAGUGGUUUGGUAGUCUCACCAGCCUCCGGCGGAAAUCAGACUCUCAGAAGGAUGAUGUCAAAGAGGUGUGCACCGAUGAUAUGGGCAUGCAUCCACGGAGCCCGAGCUAUGCCAGCUCCAGUGAAAUGUACACGCACAUGGGCACCAUGCCACGAAACCCAAAGAAGGACAAAAGCUUGAAGAAGAGCAAGUCCAAGGACAAGACCAACCUCAGUCAGAGUCAAAGCAUGAGACCUCCACAGGACCAUGUCGUUGAUUCCCCACUUCUCAGCGUACUCUCCGGGAAGGGCCUGGAGGCCCUGGAGAACCCCAUCUUGGAGGACAACCCAGCUGCAGGAACCAGAGAUAAUCACAUUCAGAAUCGUGACCUUCCACCUCCACCGACUUUGGAUGGACACUCAACAAAGCUGGAAGAUGAAGAUAAGGAGCCAUUAGUUGACUCCAAGCUACAUGUUGAUCCACCAAAUGCAUGUCUAGAAUCUUCACCAGAUCUAAGUGUGCCAGACAAAGAGCCAGACAUCCAGCCAGUGCUGCCCAAGAAGAGACAUAAAGAAGGAGACACCUCCAUGAAGGACGCUGAGGAGCUCCAGGUUGAUGGUAAUUUGAUUCAGUUACCUCUGAAACACGGCAGUCAGGUGGAGCAGAAGCAAGCAGUAGAGGAAGAUGCUAAGAUAGGAUCAGACUGCAAACAAGACAGUCAGGAAGAGAAAGAGCCUAACAGAAAGCUGAACACCAGAGACAACCAAGGAGAAUAUGUGGAAGUAAGGCCUUUUUUCUUUCUCUUAUAA